GGCAGGUCUAGUAUAAGCAAUUAUACCGUGAAACUGCGAAUGGCUCAUUAAAUCAGUUAUCGUUUAUUUGAUAAUACCUUACUACUUGGAUAACCGUGGUAAUUCUAGAGCUAAUACAUGCUGAAAAUCCCGACUUCGGAAGGGAUGUGUUUAUUAGAUAAAAAACCAAUGCCCUUCGGGGCUUUUUGGUGAUUCAUGAUAACUUUACGGAUCGCAUAGCCUUGCGCUGGCGACGGUUCAUUCAAAUUUCUGCCCUAUCAACUUUCGAUGGUAAGGUAUUGGCUUACCAUGGUUUCAACGGGUAACGGGGAAUUAGGGUUCGAUUCCGGAGAGGGAGCCUGAGAAACGGCUACCACAUCCAAGGAAGGCAGCAGGCGCGCAAAUUACCCAAUCCCGACACGGGGAGGUAGUGACAAUAAAUACUGAUACAGGGCUCUUUUGGGUCUUGUAAUUGGAAUGAGUACAAUUUAAACCUCUUAACGAGGAACAAUUGGAGGGCAAGUCUGGUGCCAGCAGCCGCGGUAAUUCCAGCUCCAAUAGCGUAUAUUAAAGUUGUUGCAGUUAAAAAGCUCGUAGUUGAAACUUGGGCCUGGCUGGCGGGUCCGCCUCACCGCGUGCACUCGUCCGGCCGGGCCUUCCUUCUGAAGAACCUCAUGCCCUUCACUGGGCGUGCUGGGGAAUCAGGACUUUUACUUUGAAAAAAUUAGAGUGUUCAAAGCAGGCCUUUGCUCGAAUACGUUAGCAUGGAAUAAUAAAAUAGGGCGUGCGUUUCUAUUUUGUUGGUUUCUAGAGACGCCGCAAUGAUUAACAGGAACAGUCGGGGGCAUCAGUAUUCAGUUGUCAGAGGUGAAAUUCUUGGAUUUACUGAAGACUAACUACUGCGAAAGCAUUUGCCAAGGAUGUUUUCAUUAAUCAGUGAACGAAAGUUAGGGGAUCGAAGACGAUCAGAUACCGUCGUAGUCUUAACCGUAAACUAUGCCGACUAGGGAUCGGGCGAUGUUCUUUUUCUGACUCGCUCGGCACCUUACGAGAAAUCAAAGUUUUUGGGUCUGGGGGAUAGGCCCC
rnacentral:rRNA from 1 species